UACGGAAGGCAGCAGUGGGGAAUAUUGCACAAUGGGCGCAAGCCUGAUGCAGCCAUGCCGCGUGUAUGAAGAAGGCCUUCGGGUUGUAAAGUACUUUCAGUCGUGAGGAAGGUGUUAAGGUUAAUAACCUUAGCAAUUGACGUUAGCGACAGAAGAAGCACCGGCUAACUCCGUGCCAGCAGCCGCGGUAAUACGGAGGGUGCGAGCGUUAAUCGGAAUUACUGGGCGUAAAGGGCACGCAGGCGGUUAAUUAAGUUGGAUGUGAAAUCCCCGGGCUUAACCUGGGAAUGGCAUUCAAGACUGGUUAGCUAGAGUCUUGUAGAGGGGGUAGAAUUCCAUGUGUAGCGGUGAAAUGCGUAGAGAUGUGGAGGAAUACCGGUGGCGAAGGCGGCCCCUGGACAAAGACUGACGCUCAUGUGCGAAGCGUGGGGAGCAAACAGGGAUUAGAUACC
rnacentral:rRNA from 1 species